GAAAUGUUGGUUAUUCUUCUUAUCUUCAUAAUUUAAUUAUCUUUUAAAAUAAAAAACCAAAAAAAAAAAAAGAGAUUCAAAAUGAAGUAAAAUCACGUUAAAGUGUAUUCAAAAUCUUAUUUUUACUUUAAAAAAACAAAACACCCUAAUCCCCAUUUUUCCCAUAUCCUUCACGUAUCCCCACAUAUCCGCCCCACUUCCCACUUCUCCCACUCUUCUCGCCACUUCCUCACAUCAGUUAUACAACACACACAUCUAUAUAUUUUGGACACUUCACAAAUGAAAAGAGGGAGGAAUCUGAAGCAAAAAAAAAAAGAACGGAAGAAAAAGAAGAGGAAGCUGGUCAUUUGGAAAAACUUAUGCACUGCCGCAGCUCUCAACCCAAAACACGCCGAACACCACCAUUUUUAACUCACGACCUUCAUAGCCAUGUAACCAGCCAAGCACCUCAUCUCCACUUUCAUUCUCACCAUUGAAAUAGCCCCAAAAUCACCAAAAAUUAGCUCCUUUCUUCCAAAAAAAAAAAAAAAAAAGCAAAAACACCUUGAACCAGUCCCCUUUUUCACAUGAAACGGCAGCAAAAACCAACCCGUUUGGGUCGAGAUUGUUUAGGCCACUGUUCGAGUUUACCGGAAGUAGAUUCUAGCUUCUGUUUUCGUUUGCGGCAAAGUUUGCCGAUGUCAAAUUUGUUUGUGCAAAGUUGUUAUUGAAAGCUAAAGAAAGGGAUCUGGACUGUGUCGGAGACCUGAUCACCUUUCUGCUGUAAUACCUUGUAAAAAAGUGAGCAAGGUCCUGUCUCUUAGCGCGAGGAAUAAAUUUCUUGGGGAUGAUCAUUUAGCUGCUCAGGAGAAUACAACGGAUGAAAAGUAUGUGCAUAAUUCAUUGAACAUUGUAUCUGAUGGAUAUUGCGCAUUGAGGCAAACCAAAAGAAGUGAUUAUGUUGGCUAUUUCAUUACCACAAGUACAGAAUCUAGUGAUUCUGUUGGUAGUUGUAGUAUCAAUGAUAAAUUCUCUAACUGUUCUCCAGUAGAAGUUUAUUGCCAAGGAACUGAGCUUCUUUGCAGUGAUGCAGAGUCUUUUCGAAAUUUAGCAGAUAAGGAGGAAAGACACCCUCUUUCUUCACCAGAGAAAAUAGCAGCAAGUAUUCAUAGUUUGGAGUUACAUGCUUAUCGCUGUACUUUGGAGGCAUUGUAUGCUUCCGGUCCCUUAAGUUGGGACCAAGAAGCAUUGUUAACGAAUCUUCGCAUCUCGCUCCAUAUUUCAAAUGAUGAACAUUUAGCUGAGCUGAGGACUUUAAUUUCUGCUGGAACUGGUAUUCAUGGCAACAGUUGGAUGCUAUACAUCAUUUGCCUCCAAAAGUCAAAAAGAUGAUGCUUGCAUUUGCAGAUCCUCUCCUGCAACGUCAACUGUCCCAAAGAUAAGACAAUUCGUGGCUUUUUGUUGUUGCUACAGUAAAGCUUCAUCAUCUGUUUUGUCAUGAUAACUUCGAUAUUGGCACCGAGAAAGUUAAAUCAAUUCAAAAAUACAGCUAUUUGUAAAUAAGGUCUUAUAAUAUGCUGUAUCUCUGUUUAUGGCUCCUCCAACUACAUGUUGCACUUAUUUUGCACUAGAAUACAUAUAGAGUUAUAGGCUUUUUUUUUCUUAUGGACAUAGCAGGAAAAGACAUUUACAUUUAAUUGGAUAGCUAUAGGUAACAUAGUCUACAUACACAGGAUUACGAUGCUGGUGCAGGUUUGCUGCUUCUGUAAUCCUGCUGCAACAAAUUGUUUGUUCACUUUAACUUUAUGUAUUUUGCUCAUUAUAAUUACCAUCAGCUGUUUCUGUAGCAGGUCUAGAGAUCCAAAUUACUUUCAUUUUCACCGCUCGUGCUGGAGGUAAAAGAGAAUAUGUAUGUACAUCUAUCUGUAAACUGUGAUGAAACAUGAAAUCUCUGCUCCAACUGUUUCCGUGAAACAAGAAAACUCUGCGUAUGUCAGACUUGCACCACUCGUUCAGUUUAAAGUUAACACCACGAACAAUAAGGUGUGGGCCUACACUACAGUCCAGUGUUGUGGUUACCCUAAAUGGGCCUUAGGCCUGUACUAAUCAGCCCGUGGGCGACUCAAUAUAGUAGAAAUGACACUCGAUAGCCACUCUAAAGGCCUGCUAUUUAGGAACUAGCUGUCACGACCCAAACCGAUGGCCGCGACAUGCACCCAAUGCCUUACUCAACCGAGUACCAAUGUUACAUAUCUUUUUGUAUCAUGCUAUCACCGGUAAAUGAGUCAUGAGAUAACCAGAAUAAACAUGGGAGAAUAAUCGGCAUAGAACGACCCAACGUGAUAUAGAAACUUAUACACGUGACAUACAGGUCUAUAAGGCCAACAUGAUCAUUUGUAAACUCAAAACAUA